UUAAAUGAAAUCAUCCUAAUUAGCAACGACCUAUGAAGUUUUGUGUUUUCUAUCUCAAACAUUCAAUGAAGCUGGAUGUAACACCAGUAUUUCACAUAUUAUCCAUAUUUACAACCCAGGGGUGUGAGAUAAACUUUUGGAAAGAUAAAAUAUGCAUGGCUCAUAUUUUAGUAGUCUAGAAAUACACUCUGUAAAUCCACCCUGUACAUAGCAUUAUAAUAAAGAUUAAGUGCUGUCACAGUGAAUGUAGUGUUAAUAAAUACAUUGAGAAAUGAUGGAUGGAAGGGUCACAGAGAUGA